GACUCCCCCAGGCCUGCAACAGAGCUGAGAGAGGCUGCGUCUGUUCCCCUGCAGAGGAGGCAUUGGGCGGGUGAGCAGGCACUAAGGAGACAUGCAGACUCCACCAACAGUGAAGCUGCUUCGCCCUGACUGUGAGAGUUUCUCUCUCCUGUGUUGAAGAUGAUAAUGUUAUGCGGUGGUGAGAUCAUCUCCCUGGAGAUGAAACCUCGCCAGCGAAGGAGCGAAUCCGUGCUACUGAAUCUCGCUGCUCAGACAUCCGAGAUGUUAAACAGAGCAAUUCAGAAAUGCAUUGGACCAUCCUGGAGACGUGAAGUCUGACUCCAUGAGUGACACAUUAAACACAAACUGCGUGUGGAGCCUAAAUAUGUUUUUGACUCUCUAGCAGGAGAAUGUCAGCUUGCUGUGUUUUGCCCUUGAUUGUAAUGCCAGAAACCUUCCUACAUACCACUACUCUUGAUGGUGUUAGGAAACAUUAUAUGCCUCAUUUGUUCUCUAAUUUGUAUGGAAACAGCUUACUCCUGCCUUUUGGUUUCUGUAAUGCUUGCUGAUAGCCAGGGAAUCAAAUGCUUUAGUUUUGCUAUAAAUACUUUACUGUAAA